GGGGCUGGGGCUCAGCGGUAGAGCACUCGCCUGGCAUGUGUGAGGCCCUGGGUUCGAUCCUCAGCACCA
rnacentral:tRNA from 1 species